GAUGAAGAACGUAGCGAAAUGCGAUAAGUAAUGUGAAUUGCAGAAUUCAGUGAAUCAUCGAAUCUUUGAACGCACAUUGCGCCCCUUGGUAUUCCGAGGGGCAUGCCUGUUCGAGCGUCAUUAUAACCCCUCAAGCUCAGCUUGGUGUUGGGGCCUGCUGCACUGGCAGCCCUUAAAAUCAGUGGCGGCGCCAUCUGGCUCUAAGCGUAGUAAUUCUUCUCGCUAUGGAGGUCCGGUCGUGUGCUCGCCAGCAACCCCCAAUUUUUUUCAGGUUGACCUCGGAUCAGGUAGGGAUACCCGCUGAACUUAAGCAUAUCAAUAAGCGGAGGA
rnacentral:misc_RNA from 1 species